rnacentral:rRNA from 1 species
GAUGAACGCUGGCGGCGUGCCUAAUACAUGCAAGUCGAGCGAACGGACGAGAAGCUUGCUGCUCUGAUGUUAGCGGCGGACGGGUGAGUAACACGUGGAUAACCUACCUAUAAGACUGGGAUAACUUCGGGAAACCGGAGCUAAUACCGGAUAAUAUUUUGAACCGCAUGGUUCAAAAGUGAAAGACGGUCUUGCUGUCACUUAUAGAUGGAUCCGCGCUGCAUUAGCUAGUUGGUAAGGUAACGGCUUACCAAGGCAACGAUGCUUAGCCGACCUGUGAGGGUGAGCGGCCAUGCUGGAGCUACGGCCCGGUCCAGGAUUCUGCGGGGGGCAGGAGUCGGGAAUCUUCCGCCAGGGGCGAAUGCCUGACGGAGCGACGCCGCGUGAGUGAUGAAGGUCGUCGGAUCGAAAACCGCUGUUAUUAGGGAAAAACAUAUGUGUAAGUAACUGUGCAGAUCUUGGCGGUACCUAAUCAGAAGGCCGCGGCUCAAUACG